ensembl:lncRNA
AAAAGUGAUUUUUCAGUCUUCUGUGUUGUAAUUUUUUGGGUAUGGUGUUAAAAAAAGCAUGUGUUCUGAACCUAUAAAUGUAUGCAAAGCAACUGCAAAGCCUUCCUGUAGUGGGACGGGCCGACAGAAGAUCAGAAACUUACUGAGAAAACGAAACACAUGAAAACAAGGCCAACCGCUGUUCCCAGAUCAGUUGAGGGCGGUAACCUAGUAUAAAUUACAGAGAGACACACUGAUCUGUCCUUUCCGUGACCAGAUCCUUCUGCUGCCAGAUCAACAAGGUCUACGGUGUUUCCUCUGUGGGAGAUGCUGUGGAAACCUGACUGGUCUUGGAGCACUAAUGUCAUCAUGAAGGAGGCGGAGGUCAUGUAAAUCCUUGCUGCCAGGGGCGGGGUCAUCUGGCACAGCGUCAUUCAGAGGGGAAACUCAUUUGCAUGAGUCUCUAUCUUUGUUUUGUGCUGGUGCCCAGAUGUGCAGAGGCCUGCGCAGUCUGCGAAGCCUAACACCGCUGUGACGCCUGACGAUCCGCGCAUGAAGCCUCAAAUUUCCGACAAAUGCUACAAAGCCAAGAACCGACCAGAAAAAAACCAAUGAAUGUAAUGCCAAAACUGAACCAAGAAAUCUCUUUAACACGUUGCUGACCAAUGAAUACUGCUACAAAUGUAAAGUAAAGUGAAGAAGCGAAUUUUUGGUGAAACCUUUGGUUUCUGCAUUGCUUGGUUCGGUUGGUCCGGGGCCCAGCUGAUAAAACAAAAAGCCCCGGAAAAAAUGUUUAAAAAAAUCUAAAUAAAAAUAGUAAAAUCUGCAACAAAAAUUCUUAUUGUACUGUGUUUAUUUUUGUUUAUCUUCCAGUGUUUGAUGAUGAAUUUAUUAACUAUAUCACUUCUUACACUAGGCCACUACAAGACUGUUUAGACACUGUAGGAAAAAAAAAAUAGAAAAAGAAAAUCAGUGGAGAAACAAAGUAUAUAUAAGAAAGUAUGUUUACACUUUACAACAAGGUCCCAUUAAUUAACAAUGAGAAAUACAUUUGUUACAGUAUUUAUUAAUAUUUGUUAACAAACAACUAUACAACUCAAAGUACAACUCUUUAUUUUAAUAUUGUAGUAAAUUUUGGACUAGGAUUAAUGUUAAUUUAUGUAGUUUAUGAAUGUGAACAAAUGGAAUUUUGUACAAAACAAUCAAAAGCAUUGCAUAGAUUUAACAUAAGUAUAACCAAGAGGCCAAACAUGAUCUUUUGUAUUUAAAAUGUUACAUAAUAAAUUAUAUAACUGAGAACAUCUGAGAUCCCAC